AGGACCGAGCGCUCGCCACGCACUCUUUUUCCCAGCCAUGGACGGCAGAGAGGAUGCCGAGUGCGGCUGCGAGGCGGCGUUCGCAGAGGCGCAGAGAUGGGUGGAGACAGUUACUGGGAAAAGCUUUGGAACAAAAGACUUUCGAGCAGCUUUAGAAAAUGGAGUCCUGUUGUGCGACUUGAUUAACAAGAUCAAACCUGGCAUUGUUAGGAAGAUAAAUCGUCUGUCAACUCCAAUUGCUGGCUUGG